UGGUAGACCAGAUGUCAGAAUGAAG
rnacentral:piRNA from 2 species